GCAGGCAGGACAAAAUUCCCCUGGCUUCCCGCCUUCGGAGGUACGGGAGCUCUUGUCUGCGUAAUACUGGUUUCCUGCUCUGGAAGAGAAAGGAAGUCGGCCGACUGGAGUAAGCAGGGAUGUAGAGGAAAGGAGAUGGCGCCUGGGACGAGGGACUGGUCAGUUUGUUCUUGUGCAGAAACUCACUCCUGCACUCAGUGUGGUAGCUGUUUAUUCAUACUGUGUGACAAGCACGUGCUUCAGGCACGGAUCCCGUGCGAAUUCGGGAGCAAUAGACCUGUUGCAAGAAAAGUAUUGUGGAAGUUCAGAAGAGAAGGAUACUCAAUUUGACCACGUCUUUCAGUCAUCAGGGAGAGGGAGCUGGAUGACUGGAGAACAAAGACUUUUUUUUUUUUUUUUUUUACCGGAGUCUUCUGUUAAGGUAUGGUUUGUGCCUACAUUACCAAAACCAAAAAGGACAAAGUUAAAGAGUAGAGAUGGGAAUGAGAUGGAUGAAUACAAGGGAAAUAAAGGCAGUGUAUUUAAAGUAGGUUGGGCAGUAAUCCUGUAAACCUUGAAAGGCUAGUGGGACCACAACUGGACAAGGGAGAUUAGCAUAGCAGGGCUCUGUAACCUUGAGCAGGGAAUUAUGGGAAAACAGUACUUUAGGGCCAGUGAGUCUGCAAAAUGGCUUAGAGUGGAAACAGAUUGGAGGCAGAGAAGCCAAGUGGUUAAGAAACUGCAGGCCCAAGGUUACAAAGGUAGUAACUGUGGAAAUGAGAAGUCCUAAGUAAGACUUCAAGUCUUCAUUAAAGCAAGCCCUCUCAGGCCACUCUGCCCUGUCCCUUCAAUAAAUGCACUUACCUGUAUUGUUCAUAGGACUUUUAUUACCUACAAAUAUCUGGGACCUUGUCUGCUCCAGAUAAAUUAUAUUAGUAAAACUUAGCUAUUUUACUUCCAGAAAGCAAAAAGAAGGAAAAACAACUUGUUCCAGCCCAUUUUCUAGAUGGAUUCUCUUCGUUUUUCAUAAUACUGCUGGAAUUAAAGAAUGAAAUGUAUACAAUUCACAAUUGCCAUUCAACUAUGAAAAGGUGUGACCCAAAAAAAAAUAGAGUAUAAAAAACAAGUCUUAGGUGAUCUCUCACUAUAACCUGUUCUGACUCACAGUAUCUGCCCGUAUCCCCCCAGCCAUACCAUAAAAUGGCCACACCCUAUAACAGAUCUUUUAUCAGUUAUUACAGUGAUAUAUAGAAAAUAUGCAGUCAUCUAAACAAAUCCUUUCAACAAUCACUUCAAUGUUUGGAUGGUUUGCAAUGUUCAGACUCCCAGAUAAGCAUUCUUCUUGUACUGCCUUUAACUGUUUCUGACCUUGCCAUCUAGCUGUCUUCCAAGCAACAGGUACCCAAUACAUGUUUUAUUGAUUAAAACCUUCUAGAACUAGAGAAGCAAGAGAUAAUUGCCUAUUAAAAUAGCUGACAGUCAGAAUUUCCAUAUUUAGAGAAACAGUAGUACCAGAUAACUAAAAAGUUAGGAGGGGACAGCCCCAAGAUUUCAAACUAGAUUUCCAUGAUGGAAAAUGACACUACUAGUAAAAUGAGGAUGGGGUGACUAAGACCUCAGUUUAUAGAGCAAGAUAUGAGCAUGGUUUUUAGACAUGGAAAGUGGUGACAGGACAUCUCAGGAGAAAAAGACUAUAUUAAGAGAAGCUACCCAAUGCUGUUUUUACUAUAAGUCCUGUUUAAUUCCUAAGGAAAGUACACUGAAGGUCCAUUAUGUUAUUCUGUGCUCCAGUUCCACUUCAUGGAAUUCAAACAUUCUAUCAUAAUCUGAUUAUAAUGAAUAGAGAUUCUAAAAGUAAUUUAAAAAUCAUUUAAUACACAAAGUGGAAAACUGUCUAGAAUAUAAAAGCAUUUCACAUUUUUUAAAAAACACACAAUACGUUCUAAAUUACUUAUUUAACAGAUGAUAGAUCCACAGUCCUUUAUCUGAAACCCUUAGGGCAAGAUGUUUCAGAAUUAUGAAAUUUUCAGAUUUUAGAAAGGUAAUUCAGUACAUAUAUCAUACUACAUAAACACCCAGGAGGGUCUGUGUCAGUCCCCCGUCCCCCUCAAUAAUCAAAUACGUUAAUAUUUCCACAGCAAAGUAAAUGAAUAUUCACACUAAAUGGGAUAAGUAGAUUCAGUGUCAGUUCAGAUUAGAUUUGCAAGCAAAUGAGUUUUGUUACCAAGCUUUUGAAAGACCUUGCUUUCAGAGCUUUUUAGACUUUGGGAGUUACAGAUAAAGGAGUGCAGAUCUUUAUAAAUUUGUAGAACAAGACAUAAAAAAUGCAUUAAACAAAUGACCCAUUUUUACAAGUCGAAAAACAAGUUUCCAAACACAUUAUAAAUUAACAGGCAUCUUCUUGAUAUUAUUAAAUGUACAUCUUAAAUACAUAUAUACAUAGCACAUUUAACAAGAUUUGUGAGAAUCAACUCAUAUUAAACGUACAGAUGCACAAUUCCUUCUGUAGGAAAGGGAUACUGUCAAAUGUGCAGUGGGAUUAAACUCCUUAUGUUGCCAGGAAGAGCAUUUCUGAAUGCAACACAAGGAGGUAGAGUUUAUUCUUCAUGAAGUAUAGUUUUACUUGAAAGUAGUCUCUUCCACAGAAACAGGCAAACAACUUUUACUUAGAACACAUAUGUUAGUUGAGGUUUUGUUUUCAAUAUAGUAAUACAGAUAUUACUUUUGGCCUUAUGCCCAAAAGUUAAAUAGUAAAAGAUGUUUUUAGUCAGUUAAGUGUUGUAUCACGUUUGAAGACAAAUGGAUUGCCAUGAUGUGCUUAAGUAGCUAUCAUAUUUAAACAAGUCCACUGACAUAAAAUUCUGUCCAGAUGUUAAAAUUUCCUAAAGUCAAAAUACUGUGCUUGUAAAAUCAUGCAUAUUUUCUGAUCAUAGCCAUUUCUUCCAUUUGCUGGUAUCUGAAGAAUGGUUUCAUGGGAGAAAAACAAAUUUCCAACACGUGCUCCAUAGGUUUGGGGACAGUGAAUAAGUAGCAAGUCAUUCUGUUAACCAUCUCCAAUCAAGAUUCUAAAACCAGGCAUGAAAAAGUUACAGUUAGAUGUUGACUGUAAGCAGUAGGUUUAUGGGUGUUACUUUUUGCAAGUUUUCUGUGUGUUUGGACAUUUUAUAAUCAAAAGUUAAAAAAAUCAAAAGUAUAAGUUACAAUUAGAGAGUUUAGUUUUACCUUCUUUCCUGCCAAUUAAAAAAGUAUUUCAAAGAGUUUUCAUAAAUAUUUGAAGUAAAUAAUUAAUGAAAGGAAAUACAAACAGUUGACCUUGAGACUAACUGUAGUAAAGUUAAUUCAGUAAACAUUUUAUUGUGGUUUCUCUGAGUUUUAACAAAUCAGUAAUUCACAGUAACCAAAUCUUCUUAAUACUUCUAAUUACAACUGUAUCAACAUUAUUCAUUUUGCAUACUGUAGUUACUAUAUUUGAAUUAUAGUACAAAUCCUGUCCCAUCUUAUUGGAGAAAAUUGAUUGCUGAACCAAAAAGGUACAAACCAUUCAAUUUCAGUGGUCACGUUGCAAAAAAAAGUUCACCCGUCAUUUAAUUUGACGAAAUAUGCUACUGUUGAAGAUUACUGAUGACAUAAUCCUAGUAUAUCCAUGAGUAAUAUCCGUAAGUAAGAGAAGAUAGGGAUUUGAGAUCGAGGAUAUAAUGCAAAUGUUCUUUGUCUUUCUUCGGGGUUCUUCUCUUCCCCAUAUGCAUCCCAAAUGCCAGAUGAGGCUAGCAUGGAAAGUUAAAACCCUUUGCACCCAACAAAACCUAAAACACCCAUAUCCACAUAAAACUUACCAUCAUACUAUUGCCCUGUUCCUCAUUUGCUUCAUGAAUAAUAGUGCUUAAAUGGCCAAGACAGUUCAAAUUUUCUUCUA